rnacentral:rRNA from 1 species
UACGUAGGGGGCAAGCGUUGUCCGGAAUCAUUGGGCGUAAAGAGCGUGUAGGCGGCCCGAUAAGUCCGCUGUGAAAGUCCAGGGCUCAACCCUGGAAUGCCGGUGGAUACUGUCGGGCUCGAGUCCGGAAGAGGAGACUGGAAUUCCUGGUGUAGCGGUGAAAUGCGCAGAUAUCAGGAGGAACACCAAUGGCGAAGGCAGCACUCUGGGACGUGACUGACGCUGAGACGCGAAAGCGUGGGGAGCAAACAGG